ensembl:misc_RNA 7SK 7SK RNA
GGAUGUGAGGGCGAUCUGGCUGCGACAUCUGUCACCCCAUUGAUCGCCAGGGUUGAUUCGACUGAUCUGGCUGGCUAGGCGGGUGUCCCCUUCCUCCCUCACCACUCCAUGUGCGUCCCUCCCGAAGCUGCGUGCUCGGUCGAAAAGGAUGGCCUUCCCCGAAUAGAGGAGGACCGUUCUUCGGUCAAGGAUAUAUGAGUAGCUGCGCUCCCCUGCUAGAAUCUCCAAACAAGCUCUCAAAAUGAAAAUCAUUAGUGAGAAGUGGUUUUCUAUAAUUGCUUUAAGUCUGGUGCUUUGGAGAGUGUGCCUAGUU